rnacentral:rRNA from 1 species
UCCACGCCCUAAACGAUGUCAAACUAGCUGUUGGGGUUUAUUAACCUUAGUAGCGCAGCUAACGCGUGAAGUUGACCGCCUGGGGAGUACGGUCGCAAGAUUAAAACUCAAAGGAAUUGACGGGGACCCGCACAAGCGGUGGAUGAUGUGGAUUAAUUCGAUGCAACGCGAAAAACCUUACCUACCCUUGACAUGUCUGGAAUCCUCUAGAGAUAGAGGAGUGCUCGCAAGAGAACUGGAACACAGGUGCUGCAUGGCUGUCGUCAGCUCGUGUCGUGAGAUGUUGGGUUAAGUCCCGCAACGAGCGCAACCCUUGCCAUUAGUUGCCACAUUGAGUUGGGCACUCUAAUGGGACUGCCGGUGACAAACCGGAGGAAGGUGGGGAUGACGUCAAGUCCUCAUGGCCCUUAUGGGUAGGGCUUCACACGUCAUACAAUGGUCGGGACAGAGGGUUGCCAAGCCGCGAGGCGGAGCCAAUCUCAGAAACCCGAUCGUAGUCCGGAUCGCAGUCUGCAACUCGACUGCGUGAAGUCGGAAUCGCUAGUAAUCGCGGAUCAGCAUGUCGCGGUGAAUACGUUCCCGGGUCUUGUACACACCGCCCGUCACACCAUGGGAGUGGGUUUCACCAGAAGUAGGUAGCCUAACCGCAAGGAGGGCGCUACC